GAGUUCAAGAGUACGUGAAACUGCUUAGAGGUUAAGCCCGAUGAACCUGAAUAUCCGUUAUGGAAAAUUCAUCACUUAAUAAUAUGGUAUUUGUAAUAUUAUAGAAAUGGUGUGCAAUUUUUCCAUAUAAGGACAUUGUAAUCUGUUAAUGUAAUAAAUAUUUAUUAAAAGAUCUUAUACAUAAGUUUAUUCAAAUUAGUUAUUUUCGGAUUUCUAACAUAGAAUAAAUGUGUUUGAUUUAAUAAAUCAUUGACAGAUUUAAUUAUAAUAUAGUGCUCAAAUUUUGAAAGAAUUUUACAAUAAUAUGAUAAUUCAAUUUGUUAUAUUAAUUGUAUGCGCUUAUAUGAUUAUCNANNCNAUAGAUUCNNGANACCUUCGGGACCCGUCUUGAAACACGGACCAAGGAGUCUAACAUAUGUGCAAGUCAUUGGGUAUUUUUAAUAAAACCCAAUGGCAUAANUAUNUAAACCGUUAACUNAAUGGGAUUAGUUUAUAUUUUAUUAUGNANUNCUAAUUCAAUNCCUAUNNCNAAUACCAUAGUAUUAGUGAUGAAUUUUCCAUAAUGGAUAUUCAGGUUCAUCGGGCUUAACCU
rnacentral:rRNA from 1 species